CUUAUACGACCCGAAACAGAAUAGAAGAAAAUCUACAUGAUCAAAAUCCAUCUCUACAACAAUUACCCUUCUGACUUGAUCAUUAUCGAAACAAAGCAGAAUAGCAACAACUUAGAAAUAAAAACUACUGAUAUAUCCCAGAGAUGUAUCAAUCAAUCCACUUAUUCAAGAACAAAUUUUACUUAAUAUUUUUUUUAAAACAGAACAAUGUAAAAACCAAACAGAGUUUUAGGACACACACUAAAGCAACAAGCAGCAGAUGAUUUGGACUCGAAAACUCAUAACAGGACGGACUUGAAAUCUUAUAACAGGACUGAAUCGAAAAACUCAUAACAGGAUGUAACAUGAAGUCGUUAGAUCGAAAAUAUUACCAAAACGAAACACAAUUAUUGCCGGAAGUUUGUGGUACUUGAAUGAUGUUGAAACCAAGUUGUCCAUUGAUGUUGCAUAUUUGUCGGCAAAGAAAACUGUUGGCGAAGCGGAUGGUGCGGUUUGACGAUGGGAUCUCUGUCCGC
rnacentral:lncRNA from 1 species